GAUUGAUGAUGAGAAAUCCAAAGGCUUGUUUCUCAAAACAUUCGCAGUGGCCGCCUAAGAGCUUUCGCCUUCGCCAGGCUUGAGAGCUAGUGCUGCUUUUCUCCUUCCUUGGAUGUCUGAAACA
rfam:Ipomoea nil DNA, scaffold: scaffold0222, cultivar: Tokyo-kokei standard.